rnacentral:misc_RNA from 1 species
AGUACUCAAUUUCAAAUAUUUUUUGUUUGAAAUUGGAUUUGAAUGGUGUUGUGGGGUCACACCACAACUCGUUCUAAAUGCAUUAGCGGUCUUGUCUUGAUCACGCACAAUGUGAUAAGAAAAUAAAGCAUUGUCGGUGUCGAGCUAAAGUCGCUUCCAACUGUCGAAAGACAAUCAUUUUAUGUC